rnacentral:rRNA from 1 species
CCUACGGGUGGCUGCAGUCGAGAAUCAUUCACAAUGGGGGAAACCCUGAUGGUGCGACGCCGCGUGGGGGAAUGAAGGUCUUCGGAUUGUAAACCCCUGUCAUGUGGGAGCAAAUUAAAAAGAUAGUACCACAAGAGGAAGAGACGGCUAACUCUGUGCCAGCAGCCGCGGUAAUACAGAGGUCUCAAGUGUUGUUCGGAAUCACUGGGCGUAAAGCGUGCGUAGGCUGUUUCGUAAGUCGUGUGUGAAAGGCGCGGGCUCAACCCGCGGACGGCACAUGAUACUGCGAGACGAGAGUAAGGGAGGGGGAACCGGAAUUCGCGGUGUAGCAGUGAAAUGCGUAGAUAUCGAGAGGAACACUCGUGGCGAAGGCGGGUUCCUGGACAUUAACUGACGCUGAGGCACGAAGGCCAGGGGAGCGAAAGGGAUUAGAUACCCGAGUAGUC